GACUACCGGGGUAUCUAAUCCCGUUUGCUCCCCACGCUUUCGUGCCUCAGCGUCAGUUUUUAUCCAGUAAGCUGCCUUCGCAAUUGGUGUUCCUCUUAAUAUCUAUGCAUUUCACUGCUCCACUAAGAAUUCCGCUUACCUCUCUAAAACUCUAGAUGUGUAGUUUUAAAUGCAGUUCUGGGGUUGAGCCCCAGGAUUUCACAUUUAACACACACACCCGCCUACGCACCCUUUACGCCCAGUGAAUCCGAGUAACGCUCGUAGUCUCUGUAUUACCGCGGCUGCUGGCACAGAGUUUGCCACUACUUCCUCUUUAAGUUAACUCAAGCUGGGCUAUGAACCCAGUUUUUGCUCCUUAAUGACAGGGGUUUACAAUCCGAAGACCUUCCUCCCCCACGCGGCGUCGCACCAUCAGGCUUGCGCCCAUUGUGAAUAAUUCCCCACUGCAGCCUCCCGUAGG
rnacentral:rRNA from 1 species